ACGGACUAAUACCCAAUGAUAUUCAUUGAUGACAUCUGAUUUGAAUUAAAGAUUUAUCGGUAUAGGAUGGGGAUGCGCUGAUUUAGCUUGUUGGUGAGGUAACGGCUCACCCAAGGCCCACGAUCAGUAGGGGUUCUGAGAGGAAGGUCCCCCACAUUGGAACUGAGACACGGUCCAAACUCCUACGGGAGGCAGCAGUGAGGAAUAUUGGUCAAUGGACGAGAGUCUGAACCAGCCAAGUAGCGUGCAGGAUGACGGCCCUAUGGGUUGUAAACUGCUUUUGUUUGGGAAUAAUCGACAUUACGUGUAAUGUUUUGCAUGUACCAUUCGAAUAAGGACCGGCUAAUUCCGUGCCAGCAGCCGCGGUAAU
rnacentral:rRNA from 1 species